ensembl:rRNA 5S_rRNA 5S ribosomal RNA
GUCUAUGACCAUACCACCCUGUCCAUAUCCAGUCUCAUCUGAUCUCUGAAACUAAGCGGGGUUGGGCCUCAUGAGUACUUGGAUGGGAGUCCUGGUUC